GACCGGGGGUGCCCCGCGCGGAGGCGCCGACCGCCCUGCCCACGCCUCGGCGGGCCCCCAGCCCGGGAGAAACCCGAGUUUGGAGGCCGAGGGGAGCCCACAUCCCCGGGGGUCCGGGGGUGACCGGUAGGGGGGAGGGAGCGCAGGAUUAGAAAAAUGACCAUAUUGCAACUAGGCGGGGCGCGCCCAGCUGGCUCCCACGGCGGAGCGUGCGACUCUUGAUCUGGGGGGUCCUGAGUUCAAGCCCCUGUUGUGCAAAGAGCUUACUUUAAAAGAAAAAAAAGAGAGAGAGAGAGAAAGAAAAGAAAAAAAAGAAAAGAAGAGAAGAGAAGAGAAAAAAAGAAAAGAAAAGAAAAGAAAAGAAAAGAAAAGAAAAGAAGAAAAAAAUAGGCGCUCCUGCCUGGCCUGGGAGGCCGGGCGGGAGGGUGCUUCAAGAGAAGGGCAGUAAGUUAACAUUUUGCAUUUCUUUGUACACUGGGCAGCAAAGACCUGCUCCUUCUAGUCUCGGUGCUAAAAAUACCCAGCUUUCUUUGGACCGCCUGCUGAGAUUUGUUCCUAAAAUCUGUCCUGGGGACAUGGCUGAGAGCACUCUUGGGAGGACGGAGGGAGACCCGAGGUAUGGCUUGCACAGGGGUGGUCACGCCGCUGCCUGGUACUGAGAUUAGAAAGGCUGACCUCAGCGGUCUCCUCCGGCCUCUGUGUGAGGAGGCGCAGGCACACUUCUGAUUCUUCAACUCCUUCAAGUGGAAGAGGGUGAGGUGGGCAACAGGAAGGUGGCAGCUAUCGAAACUGGGCCACGUUCUGGUGCCAGCAGCCAACAGGUUGGUUUCUCCAUAAGGAGGACAUCUUGCAAGGAAGACAGUUCUUAUUAAGGAGAAGGCAGCCUGCUUGUGACAUCCCGGGCAGCUGAGGGACCUGCACAGGGAACCUGUCCAUUCAGUCACCCUUAGGCAGAUAGUGAGUGCUUGACUGAGGGCGUUAUCUGUCCCAGGCCCUAUUUUGACCCUGAGGAUGCAACAGUAAACGUGCAGCCGAAGCCUCUUGCUCCACAAAGCCACUUUCAAUGGAGCUGGCAGCGAGGGUCUUUGAGAAGAAGAUGCUGAAGUCAAAUGGAUGAGGAGACGGCCUGGGGAAAAGCCAGGCGACACCUUCCAGGUUGAGAGUAGCAUGUGCCAAGGCCCUGAAAAAAAAAAAAAGGUAAGCUCUGGAUGCGGGAAGGAGCUGAUGGAAAACAGUGUGGCUUGAAUAAUAGCGGGCCUGUGAAGGAGAAUCAGGAUGAAGUGGGGAGGUGGGCAGGGCAUGCGAGACUGUCUCGCAUGGAGGCUUUAUAUUAAACCAUUGAAGGGUUUUAUGCAGAAGACUAACAUGUUCUGAUUUACUGUGUGAGGAAGACAUUGCGGGGGUGGGGGGUGGCAGGCAGAAAUAAAAGCAAGAGGACAAUUAGGCUGUUGUGGCAGCCCAGGCCAGAGAUAAUGGUGGUUUGGACCAAAUUGUGGCCACACUAAGAUGAGUAGUUGAGAGAAACUAUUUUGGACAUGAACUCAACAGGACACAUAGGGAGGACGGAUGUCGGGAGGAGAGGGAGAAACCAAAGAUAACUGCAAUUUCUGGCUGGAGUAAGCAGGUAGACAGGGCCUCAUUUGUUGGAUGAGGUUACCUAGAUGAAAGGCACUCUAUAGCUCGGGGAGAAGCGUCGAGAAUUCUGCUUUAGCAGUGUUGACUUUGAGAUUCCCGCCAGAGACUCAGUUCAGUUGUUGAGAUGAGGAGCUCAGAAGAGAAGCCUGGGCUGGAGGUGGGCCUUUGGGAGGCAUCAUCUUAAAGACGUAGAAACUGUGGUAUCUGAGGAAGUCACCUCAGGUGAGCCGGUAGUUGCAGAGGAAGGGAGGGCUCACGAGGAACCCAGAGGAGCCAGAGCAGGGAAGAAGACGGAAAGGCUGAGCAGGCAAGGGGAGAACCAGGAGACUGCUAUGUCCCAGAGAGGGAGAAAGGAAAGAAUUUCUAGAACAGAGUGGUCGGCUGAGUUAGAUGCUACUUAGAGCUCAGACCAGCUGAGACAGGGAGGGAUCCAUUGACUCUGGCAGCAUGAAAGACAUUGGCGAAUGUGAUAAGGACAGCGUGCCUGGAGUCCUGGGACAGAAGCCAGACCAUGGUGGAGCUAUCGUGUUUGGACAGCCUGUGUAGCAGGGAACAAGAGAACCUGGGAGGGGUCUCGAAAUGGACGUGGAAUCACAGGAGACUUUGGCAGAGAUUGCUAGGUGACCCUGAUAGCCAUUCUCCCCCUGGCCAUGUGGCUCCCCCAGAAUAAAAGCAAGUUGUCAGACUCCCUUGCAGCUAGUUAUGGUCCUACGACUUAGUUCUAGCCAACUAGCAGCAAGGCGGGGUCCUACGACUUAGUUCUAGCCAACUAGCAGCAAGGCGGGGCAGCGUCAGGUGUAUGUGUAGCUGAAGCUCAAGCAACCAUAUUAGACUUCAAAGUGGAAGGCAUGUGUUAAGGAUGUUGUCAGUGCUACAGGUUAGAAGACAUCGGGGUCCUAAUGUGUAGGGAGCCACCAUACCUGCUCUGGAAGACCUGCCUCUUGACUUUGUGAAAGAAAGAGAUUUCUGUCUUGUUUAAUCUUUUGUUUUCUGAUACUUGUAGCCAUAUCUAGUUUUAACUUUUAGAAUACAGAGGGGGUUCAUUGAAAUAUGGAAGUUGCUAGAGCAAGUUUAGGGACUGAUAGGAAUGAUCCAAGAGAAAGGCAGGUGUGAGGAUUCUGAAGAAAGGGAGAUGGGGCGUGGGCCCUAAUGAGAGGACACCUCUGAUAGAGGGGCAGACACCUUCACCAUUCUCGAGGGGGGUAGUGGAGGCAGAGAUGUUGGCAGUGAGGUUGGCCUUGAAAAGAGAGUCAUUCACACCUGAUGACAGCUGCUGAAUUCUGGAUGUGAAGGACGUUGUGAGCUUAGAGCAAGGAAGAGAGAGAGAGGAUGAAGCCACCAGUAAGCACCAGGAACUAGAUGGUGGAGGUCCCGCCAGCCUCAACAGCAUGAGGACUAGCUGUGAAGAGGGUGGAGGAAAUGCCCACAGAGCCACCAUGGCCUCCACCCACCCCACCACCCGGCCUCACUUAACAGUUCCUUUAUGCCAUUUCCCCUGCCAAAUGAGACCCACUAAGCCUUACCUGACCCGUUUUUAUGGGUCACCACUUUGGGUGCCUUCAGAGCAUCGGGGAUACACAAAACAGAGCAGGCCCAUUUUAUUUUCCUGUUUUAAAAAAAUAAAACGAAUCCAGAGAUGGACAGCCCCAAUCCGUAAAGGGGCCGACUGUAUUAUGACCAGUGACUUGGUUUCCAAGUCUGUAAUUACCGAGAAUAUGGCUGAAUUACAGUGCAGACUAGAAGCCUGAGCUGUGGAUUAUGGGAACAAAAACCAGUACAGGAAGGAAGAAAAAGAAGCUGACAGACAGGCUCCAGGCUCUUCUCCUUUUCCUGGACCUGCAGUCGACUCCUCCCUUGGAUCUAAGACGUGCCACGCGGCCCGACCUGGCCCAGAAGACCCCAGCAGGUGUGGGGGGGAUCCAGUUCAGGAAAGUUUCACUUCCCUCACACAUGUGCCGCUGCUCUCUGCUUUUUGCCCUUCUGCCCGUGUCGAGUGCACGUGGGAAAGAGCUAGAGCAGCCCUCCCGGGACCACCAGCCGCUGUGAGGAGGGCCGCUUCCUCAGUAAGGAGAGCCCGAGCAGACCUACGGAGCCGACGGGCCUGAAUGGAAGCCUGUGCCGGAGAUGACCUCCCAGUGCCCUUCCAGCCCUGCCCCUCCGUGAGUCACCCAUACCGGAAUCACUUCAAAUGAGAGAAGAUGGCUUUGCCAAGAUGUGGCCAGAUGAGACAUGAGAGGGAGGGAGCAUGUCAGAGAGGCUAAGACAAGGCCCCCGUGAGGCUGCCUGCCCUGCCCCCCAGCUCUGUCCCUCACAGCUGGGAUGUAAGGGACAGACACAGAAGUGAAAGUCACCUGGAAGUGCAAAAAGUGCUCCUUCGGGAAUAAUCUCAUGUGAACUGACCUUCACAAAGCUAUGCAUUUAUGAAACAAAUGUGGUAAGUGGUCUCAGGGCGUCACACAGCCCAUAAGUGAUAGAAGCAGAACCAUCAGCUUUAUGUCCAAUCUUCCCCCCCAACACUGUGCCCCUGGGGAAUCAUUAACACAGGGAUUUGGGGAUCUGCUGCUGCGCCCCAGGGAUCUCUCUGCUCAGGCCCUGUCAGAAGGAAUCCUGGGACUCUCUUCCCAGAAAGGGGAGAGAGAAGCACCCACACACGCCUGAAGCAGAGCAGAGCAUUGGUGGAUGCUGCAGGCAUCGUGGGUGACUCCGGGCCCCUCACAGCUUUUUGCUUGCUGGUCCCCUGGGAGAGCCCCGCUGCCCCCCUUCUGCUGGGCAGUUCCUGUCAUGUGCGCACACUGCCAUCUAGGGGCAGUUGGCUGACCUGGGUUGAUCAGGCCCCUGCCUGGUGCGUGUGUUGGGGGAAGGGAGGAGGGCUUCUCAGUCCUUGUCUGACGCUGUGGAGCUCGCCUUCCAGGGGCUUCUGUUCCCUUGGCACUCCUAUUUAGCCACCCAGGAAGGUCCACGUAUUGCACACCAACUCCUUGGAGCCUCCUGAUCUCCCCUCCUCGUAGGUGUUGCUUCCCUUCCCAGGCUCUGCGCUAAGCCUUCCCCCUGCCCUCUCGCCUCCACAGGCCUGUGAGGUCUCAGCCCCUCCUGUGUCUUUAGGCCUCUUCUGUGCACUGGCCUCGCUCCACGUUUACUGCCAGUCCUGCUCCCUCUCCUGGGCCACCAUCCCAGUCUAGAAUGGAAAUCGGAUGCCGUCAGCUGCCUCCUCUAAACUCGUAAAGUUGUUUUCACUGAAUGUUCUACAGAGACUGACCAGGUGCGGUCACUGCAACCACCUCUCUGACCACAGGCCACCCUCCCACAUUGACCCGGCCUGGCGCCUGGGUGUAGUGGCAGCUGCACGCACGGCCCUUCAGGACCAGGUGUGGGAAUCGGGUCUCUCAGGAGGGAACUGCCCCCCUGGCAGAAGGAAGCUGCUUCACCCAGGGCUGGGGGGCCCAGCGCUCACCAAAGCCCCCUUCUGUCAUUUCUGGACAACUGAUGAGUGGCCCCAGCCCCUGCCUCCCCCUGGAGCAGUUAAGGCCUUCCUUGGAAGGGCCUCCUAGUUCAUCCCCCACCCCCACCCCCCCAGACACGCACUUCCCCUCACUUCCUGCACACAAGUCUCUGGAUCUGCUUCUGUUUCCUGUGUGCCUGGCCUCCUCAUGUGCCAUCACCUCAGCUAUGAACCUCUUCUGUCCCUUCCCUUUGACGGUGUGAAGACCUGCAGCGACGUAGAAGCCACUCAGGCUGGUCCCUUAGCCAGGUUCUUCAGAAUACGCCUGGAGGUGCAGCCACGUCCCUGGCUCCCACAGCGUCCCUCCUACCCUGACACUGGUGUGUCUCGCUUUGUUGCUGCUGUUCCAGCUGCCACUGGCCAGCUGGUCACCGGCCUCCCUGGUGCUCCUGCCUGGCAUCUGCCCACUGCCUCCGUGUCUCGUAGGUGCCCGGCCAGCCCACGAGGUCCUACUCGGAGUCCGGAACCCAUCCCAGGUCCUCGGAUCCACUGUGCCCGGGGUGGAUGGUUGGUGGCAAGAGACCCGGAGAGGGGCCUCCUGGAGGAGGUGCAGCGUGCCAGCUCUCGCAGGUCCCCAGGAGAGGGUGGCGACACGUGGCAUACGGGCACAUGUCUAUCCUGUCCCCUCUUAGGGCUGCUCAGACAGACAGAUAAUAAGAAACAAAUUUACAUCCGUGCAGUAGCAUUUUGUAACCAGUCUUAGUAUGAGUGUGCAGAUCCGGUGUGGUGAUGCCUGUGUUCUCCUCGAUUUUGGAAGGUGGCUGAAACAUUUAUGAGACUCUGAAUCAUUAGAAUUAGGAAGAGGGAUCCCUGGGUGGCGCAGCGGUUUGGCACCUGCCUUUGGCCCAGGGCGCGAUCCUGGAGACCCGAGAUCGAAUCCCACAUCGGGCUCCCGGUGCAUGGAGCCUGCUUCUCCCUCUGCCUGUGUCUCUGCCUCUCUCUCUCUCUCUCUCUGUGUGACUAUCAUAAAUAAAUAAAAAUUAAAAAAAAAAAAGGACAAAGUUUAAAAAAAAAAAGAAUUAGGAAGAGCGUAAUUGAUUACAUGUAAUGUUUAAGUGUUCGGGGAAAUCUACUUUGUUAAAAUCAUAAAAAUUCAAUUUAUUAGUUGUAGAAAUAAUGCAGGCAUCCUUUGCCUUGUGCUUUGCUUUCAGAGGCUUUGCAGAUACUGCAUUCGUCACAAACUGAAGGUUUGCGGCCACCCUGUAUCCAACAAUUCUGCACACCUCGGAGAUGCUGUGGUUCCGUUCCAGGCUGCACAGUAAAGCAAGUGAAACGAAGUUUCUGGUUUCCCGGUGCAUAUAAACGUCACGUCUCCACCACAGUCUCUCACUUGCAUCUAUAAAGGAUGCAAUGGCCUAUGUCUGAAAAGAAACCCAGUGGACAUGCCUUCAUCAGAAACUGCUUUAUUCUGCUUCUCCCUCUGCCUGUGACUCUGCCUCUCUCUCUCUCUCUCAUGAAUAAAUAAAUAAAAUCUUUAAAAAAAAAAAAAAAAGAAAGAAAGAAACUGCUUUAUUGCCCAAGGACACUAACCAUCUUUUUGCUGGUAGAGGGCCUGGCCUCCGUGUUGAUGCUGAGACUUAUGGGGGUGGGGGGCGCCCGGGGCAAUUUCUUAACAUAAUUCAACAAUGAAGUUUGUUAACCUCCAUCGACUCUCCCUUUCACUUGAACACUUGGAGGCCACUGUAGGCUUAUUAAUUGGCCUGCUUUCAAUAUUGUCGUGUCUCAGGGACUAGAGAGCCCCAAGGAGAGGGAGAGAGAUGGGGCAAUGGCCGGUGGAAGCAGCAGUUAGGACGCACACAACUAUUUAUCAAGUGAGUGCUCUUUCUUUUUUUUUUUAAAGAUUUUAUAUAUUUAUUCAUGAGAGACACAGG